rnacentral:rRNA from 1 species
GAUGAACGCUGGCGGCGUGCCUAAUACAUGCAAGUCGAGCGAACAGACGAGGAGCUUGCUCCUCUGACGUUAGCGGCGGACGGGUGAGUAAAACGUGGAUAACCUACCUAUAAGACUGGGAUAACUUCGGGAAACCGGAGCUAAUACCGGAUAAUAUAUUGAACCGCAUGGUUCAAUAGUGAAAGACGGUUUUGCUGUCACUUAUAGAUGGAUCCGCGCCGCAUUAGCUAGUUGGUAAGGUAACGGCUUACCAAGGCGACGAUGCGUAGCCGACCUGAGAGGGUGAUCGGCCACACUGGAACUGAGACACGGUCCAGACUCCUACGGGAGGCAGCAGUAGGGAAUCUUCCGCAAUGGGCGAAAGCCUGACGGAGCAACGCCGCGUGAGUGAUGAAGGUCUUCGGAUCGUAAAACUCUGUUAUUAGGGAAGAACAAAUGUGUAAGUAACUAUGCACGUCUUGACGGUACCUAAGCAGAAAGCCACGGCUAACUACGUG